CCUACGGGGGACAGCAGUAGGGAAUCUUUCACAAUGGGCGAAAGCCUGAUGGAGCAACGCCGCGUGCAGGAUGAAGGCCUUCGGGUUGUAAACUGCUUUUAUAAGCGAGAAAUAUGAUGUUAAGUUAUGACUAAGGAUCGGCUAACUACGUGCGAGCAGCCGCGGUCAUACGUAGGAUGCGAGCAUUAUCCGGAGUGACUGAGUGUAAAGAGUUGGGUAGGUGGGAUAAUAAGUAGCUAGUGAAAUCUGGUGGCUCAACCAUUCAGACUAUUAGCUAAACUGUUAAGCUCGAGACCGUUCGAGGUAACUGGAAUUUCUAGGGUAGGAGUGAAAUCCGUAGAUAUAAGAAAGAACACCAAUAGCGUAGGCAGGUUACUGGGACGGUUCUGACGCUAAGGCACGAAAGCGUAGGGAGCAAACAGGAUUAGAUACCCGGGUAGUC
rnacentral:rRNA from 1 species